rnacentral:rRNA from 1 species
AGAGUUUGAUCCUGGCUCAGGAUGAACGCUAGCGGCAGGCUUAACACAUGCAAGUCGAGGGGCAGCAUAAUGGUAGUAAUACUAUUGAUGGCGACCGGCGGACGGGUGCGUAACGCGUAUGCAACCUACCCUUUACAGGGGGAUAACACUGAGAAAUCGGUACUAAUACCCCAUAAUAUUCCGGGAGGCAUCUUUCGGAGUUGAAAGCUUUGGUGGUAAAGGAUGGGCAUGCGUUGUAUUAGCUAGUUGGUAAGGUAACGGCUUACCAAGGCGACGAUACAUAGGGGGACUGAGAGGUUAACCCCCCACAUUGGUACUGAGACACGGACCAAACUCCUACGGGAGGCAGCAGUGAGGAAUAUUGGUCAAUGGACGGAAGUCUGAACCAGCCAUGCCGCGUGCAGGAAGACGGCUCUAUGAGUUGUAAACUGCUUUUGUACGAGGGUAAACGCAGAUACGUGUAUCUGCCUGAAAGUAUCGUACGAAUAAGGAUCGGCUAACUCCGUGCCAGCAGCCGCGGUAAUACGGAGGAUCCAAGCGUUAUCCGGAUUUAUUGGGUUUAAAGGGUGCGUAGGCGGUUUAGUAAGUCAGCGGUGAAAUUUUGGUGCUUAACACCAAACGUGCCGUUGAUACUGCUGGGCUAGAGAGUAGUUGCGGUAGGCGGAAUGUAUGGUGUAGCGGUGAAAUGCUUAGAGAUCAUACAGAACACCGAUUGCGAAGGCAGCUUACCAAACUAUAUCUGACGUUGAGGCACGAAAGCGUGGGGAGCAAACAGGAUUAGAUACCCUGGUAGUCCACGCAGUAAACGAUGAUAACUCGCUGUCGGCGAUACACAGUCGGUGGCUAAGCGAAAGCGAUAAGUUAUCCACCUGGGGAGUACGUUCGCAAGAAUGAAACUCAAAGGAAUUGACGGGGGCCCGCACAAGCGGAGGAACAUGUGGUUUAAUUCGAUGAUACGCGAGGAACCUUACCCGGGCUUGAAAGUUACUGACGAUUCUGGAAACAGGAUUUCCCUUCGGGGCAGGAAACUAGGUGCUGCAUGGUUGUCGUCAGCUCGUGCCGUGAGGUGUCGGGUUAAGUCCCAUAACGAGCGCAACCCCUACCGUUAGUUGCCAUCAGGUCAAGCUGGGCACUCUGGCGGGACUGCCGGUGUAAGCCGAGAGGAAGGUGGGGAUGACGUCAAAUCAGCACGGCCCUUACGUCCGGGGCUACACAC